UCAGUCUAUCAGAGACAGAGCAUCGGGGCCGAGCAGAGUUUUGUGAAGUGAGAAAAGUGAACGAACGGGAGAAAACGAGAUAGAUUCAGAGAAACGGAGUCUACUGAAGGCAGACGAACAGUCAGUGAGUGUUUGCUAAAAAAAUUUAAAAAAAUAAAAGUGAGUUAAUGACACGGUGGAUGUGGUAACGGCUGUUGUUUUAGCCGUUACUGCCGUUAGCCGUUAAAGCUAUUGGCUGUUGACGUCAUUAGCCCGCCGGCUAACGUUCGUGGCCGUUGCUGCUGUUAGCGCUCACCAGCCGUUAGCUCGUCUGCUAGCGCUUAGCUGUUGCUCCUAACUCCGUCUGUGUGUCUGUGUGUGGAAACUUCCCCCUCAUCUGUUACUGCUUUCAGCAACAAGAGCCUGUUGCGGUACCGGGUGCCGGAGCCGUUUUGUGCCUGUUUCCCGCCGAACACAGAGAUCGCUCGUCUGACUGUGAGUCCCAGCUUCUCUCAGGUCUUUAAAGGAGACAUUGUGUCUCUGAGCUGUGAGGAGGACGACAGCUCUGCUGGAUGGACUCUGAGGAGAAACACCACCACAGGACAGAGGACUCAGUGUGGAGCUGGGUGGGGAGAACCAGCUGGUUCUUCAUGUAACAUCAGCUACAUCUUCUCAUCAGACAGUGGAGUUUACUGGUGUGAGUCCAGAGAGGGAGCAACCAGUAACAGCAUCAACCUCACUGUCUCUGGUAAGCUCAGACUGUGGAGUUAGUAUUGAUG